rnacentral:rRNA from 1 species
UACGUAGGGUGCAAGCGUUAAUCGGAAUUACUGGGCGUAAAGCGUGCGUAGGCGGUUUGUUAAGUCUGUCGUGAAAGCCCUGGGCUCAACCUGGGAAUUGCGAUGGAUACUGGCAAGCUAGAGUACGGUAGAGGAUGGUGGAAUUCCCGGUGUAGCGGUGAAAUGCGUAGAGAUCCGGAGGAACACCGACGGCGAAGGCAGCGCCCUGGACGACACCUGACGCUCAGGCACGAAAGCUGGGGGAGCAAACAGG